GAUGAACGCUGGCGGCGUGCCUAAUACAUGCCAGUCGAGCGAACGGACGAGAAGCUUGCUUCUCUGAUGUUAGCGGCGGACGGGUGAGUAACACGUGGAUAACCUACCUAUAAGACUGGGAUAACUUCGGGAAACCGGAGCUAAUACCGGAUAAUAUUUUGAACCGCAUGGUUCAAAAGUGAAAGACGGUCUUGGUGUCUCUUAUCGAUGGAUCCGAGCUGCAUUAGCUAGUUGGUAAGGUAACGGCUUACCAAGGCAACGAUGCAUAGCCGACCUGAGAGGGUGAUCGGCCACACUGGAACUGAGACACGGUCCAGACUCCUACGGGAGGCAGCAGUAGGGAAUCUUCCGCAAUGGGCGGAAGCCUGACGGAGCAACGCCGCGUGAGUGAUGAAGGUCUUCGGAUCGUAAAACUCUGUUAUUAGGGAAGAACAUAUGUGUAAGUAACUGUGCACAUCUUGACGGUACCUAAUCAGAAAGCCACGGCUAACUACGUG
rnacentral:rRNA from 1 species